CGUAUGGUGCAAGCGUUAUCCGGAUUUACUGGGUGUAAAGGGAGCGUAGACGGCUGUGUAAGUCUGAAGUGAAAGCCCGGGGCUCAACCCCGGGACUGCUUUGGAAACUAUGCAGCUAGAGUGUCGGAGAGGUAAGUGGAAUUCCCAGUGUAGCGGUGAAAUGCGUAGAUAUUGGGAGGAACACCAGUGGCGAAGGCGGCUUACUGGACGAUGACUGACGUUGAGGCUCGAAAGCGUGGGGAGCAAACAGGAUU
rnacentral:rRNA from 1 species